GUGCACCAGUCGCGAAUCUUUAGCAAUGCCCGAAAGGGUGACUAUGCGACGCCGCGUGAGCGAUGAAGUCCUUCGGGACGUAAAGCUCUGUCAGGUGGGAUGAAUUUUUCGACCUUAACAGGGUUGGAAUUUGACCGUACCACCAGAGGAAGCCACGGCUAACUCCGUGCCAGCAGCCGCGGUAAUACGGAGGUGGCAAGCGUCGUUCGGAUUUAUUGGGUGUAAAGGGCAUGUAGGUGUCCUAGUAAGUCCUGGCUGAAAUCCUUCGGCUCAACCGAAGAACGUGUCAGGAAACUGCUGGGAUUGAGUACGGAAGGGGAGAACGGAAUUCCCGGUGUAAGGGUGAAAUCUGUAGAUAUCGGGAGGAACACCAGUGGCGAAAAGCGGUUCUCUGUCCGAUACUGACACUGAAAUGCGAAAGCUAGGGGAGCAAACAGGAUUAGAUAACCCGCGUAAGUCCCUGAGACCAAGGC
rnacentral:rRNA from 1 species